rnacentral:rRNA from 1 species
CCUACGGGUGGCAGCAGUGAGGAAUAUUGGUCAAUGGACGAGAGUCUGAACCAGCCAAGUAGCGUGAAGGAUGACUGCCCUAUGGGUUGUAAACUUCUUUUAUAUGGGAAUAAAACGUUCCACGUGUGGGAUUUUGUAUGUACCAUAUGAAUAAGGAUCGGCUAACUCCGUGCCAGCAGCCGCGGUAAUACGGAGGACCCGAGCGUUAUCCGGAUUUAUUGGGUUUAAAGGGAGCGUAGGUGGAUUGUUAAGUCAGUUGUGAAAGUUUGCGGCUCAACCGUAAAAUUGCAGUUGAAACUGGCAGUCUUGAGUACAGUAGAGGUGGGCGGAAUUCGUGGUGUAGCGGUGAAAUGCUUAGAUAUCACGAAGAACUCCGAUUGCGAAGGCAGUUCACUGAACUGCAACUGACACUGAGGCUCGAAAGUGUGGGUAUCAAACAGGAUUAGAUACCCGAGUAGUC